GACGAACGCUGGCGGCGUGCUUAACACAUGCAAGUCGAACGGUAAGGCCCUUCGGGGUACACGAGUGGCGAACGGGUGAGUAACACGUGGGUGAUCUGCCCUGCACUUCGGGAUAAGCCUGGGAAACUGGGUCUAAUACCGGAUAGGACCACUGCCUGCAUGGGUGGUGGUGGAAAGCUUUUGCGGUGUGGGGUGGGCCCGCGGCCUAUCAGCUUGUUGGUGGGGUGAUGGCCUACCAAGGCGACGACGGGUAGCCGGCCUGGGAGGGUGACCGGCCACACUGGGACUGAGAUACGGCCCAGACUCCUACGGGAGGCAGCAGUGGGGAAUAUUGCACAAUGGGCGCAAGCCUGAUGCAGCGACGCCGCGUGAGGGAUGACGGCCUUCGGGUUGUAAACCUCUUUCAGCACCGACGAAGCGCAAGUGACGGUAGGUGCAGAAGAAGGACCGGCCAACUACGUGCCAGCCGCCGCCGUAA
rnacentral:rRNA from 1 species